CCGUUUCUUACUUCAACAGUGUUUGAAUGGUACAG
rfam:Ictidomys tridecemlineatus contig111550, whole genome shotgun sequence.